rnacentral:pre_miRNA from 1 species
GAUCUACUCUCUCCGUUCAGAAUUACUUGUCUCGGAAAUGGAUGUAUCUAGAUGUAUUUUAGUUCUAGAUACAUCCAUUUCCGAGACAAGUAAUUCCGAACGGAGGGAGUAGAUG